UACGUAGGGGGCUAGCGUUGUCCGGAAUCAUUGGGCGUAAAGAGCGUGUAGGCGGCCCGGUAAGUCCGCUGUGAAAGUCGGGGGCUCAACCCUCGAAUGCCGGUGGAUACUGUCGGGCUAGAGUGCGGAAGAGGCGAGUGGAAUUCCUGGUGUAGCGGUGAAAUGCGCAGAUAUCAGGAGGAAUACCGAUUGCGAAGGCAGCUCGCUGGGACGUAACUGACGCUGAGGAGCGAAAGCGUGGGGAGCGAACAGG
rnacentral:rRNA from 1 species